rnacentral:rRNA from 1 species
UAGAGUUUGAUCCUGGCUCAGGACGAACGCUGGCGGCGCGCCUAACACAUGCAAGUCGAACGGAGUCAAGAGGAGCUUGCUUUUCUUGACUUAGUGGCGAACGGGUGAGUAACGCGUGAGUAACCUGCCCUGGAGUGGGGGACAACAGUUGGAAACGACUGCUAAUACCGCAUAAGCCCACGGAUCCGCAUGGAUCUGCGGGAAAAGGAUUUAUUCGCUUCAGGAUGGACUCGCGUCCAAUUAGCUAGUUGGUGAGGUAACGGCCCACCAAGGCGACGAUUGGUAGCCGGACUGAGAGGUUGAACGGCCACAUUGGGACUGAGACACGGCCCAGACUCCUACGGGAGGCAGCAGUGGGGGAUAUUGCACAAUGGGGGAAACCCUGAUGCAGCGACGCCGCGUGGAGGAAGAAGGUUUUCGGAUUGUAAACUCCUGUCGUUAGGGACGAUAAUGACGGUACCUAACAAGAAAGCACCGGCUAACUACGUGCCAGCAGCCGCGGUAAAACGUAGGGUGCAAGCGUUGUCCGGAAUUACUGGGUGUAAAGGGAGCGCAGGCGGACCGGCAAGUUGGAAGUGAAAACUAUGGGCUCAACCCAUAAAUUGCUUUCAAAACUGCUGGCCUUGAGUAGUGCAGAGGUAGGUGGAAUUCCCGGUGUAGCGGUGGAAUGCGUAGAUAUCGGGAGGAACACCAGUGGCGAAGGCGACCUACUGGGCACCAACUGACGCUGAGGCUCGAAAGCAUGGGUAGCAAACAGGAUUAGAUACCCUGGUAGUCCAUGCCGUAAACGAUGAUUACUAGGUGUUGGAGGAUUGACCCCUUCAGUGCCGCAGUUAACACAAUAAGUAAUCCACCUGGGGAGUACGACCGCAAGGUUGA